rnacentral:piRNA from 1 species
UGCUGGGCAAGAACAGAAAAUGUUUUAUU